UACGUAGGGGGCAAGCGUUGUCCGGAAUCACUGGGCGUAAAGCGCACGUAGGCGGAUCUUUAAGUCAGAGGUGAAAUCCCAAGGCUCAACCUUGGAACUGCCUUUGAUACUGGGGAUCUUGAGUCCGGGAGAGGUGAGUGGAACUGCGAGUGUAGAGGUGAAAUUCGUAGAUAUUCGGAGGAACACCAGUGGCGAAGGCGGCUCACUGGUCCAUUACUGACGCUGAGGUGCGAAAGCGUGGGGAGCAAACAGG
rnacentral:rRNA from 1 species